UACGGAGGGAGCUAGCGUUGUUCGGAAUUACUGGGCGUAAAGCGCACGUAGGCGGCUUUUUAAGUCAGGGGUGAAAUCCCGGGGCUCAACCCCGGAACUGCCCUUGAAACUGGAAGGCUAGAAUCUUGGAGAGGCGAGUGGAAGUUCCGAGUGUAGAGGUGAAAUUCGUAGAUAUUCGGAAGAACACCAGUGGCGAAGGCGACUCGCUGGACGAAGUAUUGA
rnacentral:rRNA from 1 species